AGAGUGGCAACACUCAUCCAGGGCCGGAAAGUCAGUCAAACUUGGUCAUUUAGAGGAAGUAAAAGUCGUAACAAGGUCUCCGUAGGUGAACCUGCGGAGGGAUCAUUA
rnacentral:rRNA from 1 species